rnacentral:rRNA from 1 species
AUUGAACGCUGGCGGCAGGCCUAACACAUGCAAGUCGAACGGUAACAGGAAACAGCUUGCUGUUUCGCUGACGAGUGGCGGACGGGUGAGUAAUGUCUGGGAAACUGCCUGAUGGAGGGGGAUAACUACUGGAAACGGUAGCUAAUACCGCAUAACGUCGCAAGACCAAAGAGGGGGACCUUCGGGCCUCUUGCCAUCGGAUGUGCCCAGAUGGGAUUAGCUAGUAGGUGGGGUAACGGCUCACCUAGGCGACGAUCCCUAGCUGGUCUGAGAGGAUGACCAGCCACACUGGAACUGAGACACGGUCCAGACUCCUACGGGAGGCAGCAGUGGGGAAUACUGCACAAUGGGCGCAAGCCUGAUGCAGCCAUGCCGCGUGUAUGAAGAAGGCCUUCGGGUUGUAAAGUACCUUCAGCGGGGAUGAAGGGAGUAAAGUUAAUACCUUUGCUCAUUGACGUUACCCGCAGAAGAAGCACCGGCUAACUCCGUG